CCGAGUUCCGAGACAUUUGUGCCCGCUCCGUUUCUCCUGCAGCGAACGCGAGAUGGAAGACCGUGCGGUAGCUGGGCAGCAUUCGCCGGCGGCAUCUGGAGCCAAAAACCAUCACCAGAGGAAUCGUGGAUCAUUAUUUGAAGCCGAAAGAACGAGCUGCGUGGUGGUGCCCCGAUCACUCCCGGUUUCUAAGCGGAACACUAAAGCUUGGGUGAUGCACGAGUAUCACCUAAAUGCCGAUCCUCUUUAGGACACUUCUGGAGGCCAGGCAGACUGUUCUUGGCGUUUUGAAGGUACACGAAAUGAGAAGGCCGAUAAUUAAGAUAUUCCUAGCAGGACUAUGCAGCCUCGUAGGUUAAAGAUGCCUUAAAGAAGACGAUCCACGUAUUUCUAAAAGACCAAUCCAAGCGACCGAAGACACUUGUGAAGCCAUAUUCAAGUUAGGUUUCUCCAUGCUUAGUGCGGAUUCACAAUGAGCUUUGUAUACCAGUAAAAAAAUCUUCUUACUGAGAAGCCCUUCAUUUCAA